rnacentral:rRNA from 1 species
UACGUAGGGGGCAAGCGUUGUCCGGAAUCAUUGGGCGUAAAGAGCGCGUAGGCGGCCCGAUAAGUCCGCUGUGAAAGUCAAGGGCUUAACCCUUGAAUGCCGGUGGAAACUGUCGGGCUAGAGUCCGGAAGAGGCGAGUGGAAUUCCUGGUGUAGCGGUGAAAUGCGCAGAUAUCAGGAGGAACACCGGUGGUGUAAACGGCUCUCUGGACCGUAACUGACGCUGAGACACGAAAGCGUGGGUAGCAAACAGG